UCCUCCCCCGCCGCCGGCUCCGCAACGGCCGCCACCCGCUGCCCUCGAAACCCACUUGUUCUCCGAGCGCCGCUGCCCCUCCCGCUGCGUCGAGCUCGCAGGCCACAGCCGUCGCCGCCGCUCAAUCUCUCCUGCGACCAUGGCGCCUCCUGCGGCAUUCCCACCAGUGUCCCCGACCUGGCAGCUUUGUCCGCUCCUACGGUGUCAUCCUAGACGAAGCCGCUGUCAAACGCGUCCGCGCCGUGCGCUGCUGGAGGGAGGGGCCGCAUCAGCUGUCGCUGCCGUGCGCCUGGCCAAGCGCUGCGGCCAGGGAGUGUCGCCGCGCCAUGUGUGACGGCGGGAGAUAAGGUCCGGGCCGUGUCGUUCUUCACUAACGCCGCCAUGCGCCUGACGUGGACGGCCUUGGCCGCCGACGAGAGCCGCGGUCGCCACGGUUAGAGAUGCCAAGGCAAAGCUGCACCCGGACGGGGUUGCUCCUGCAGUGCGGGCCAUGGCCGAGAGCGACUCCAACGAAGCCAUGGCCGUCGUCACGAGGGCGAGCGCGCUGCGCCAACGGCUGGUGCCCCAGAAGGCGCCGCCAAAGCGCACGGCAGAGGACGGCGCUGAGCAGCGGGCGGUAUCGUCGGAUCUGGCAGCUGCCGAGAAACCGCGCGACGCACUGAAUCCUGAUUCACACCCACUGUACGCAGCCGGUCGGCUCUCACACAUCCGACUUCCACCGAGAAUACGACAUUCGUGGACGCUGCUCUCACCCUUCACAGGCGUUCGUGGCGUUGUAUAUUUGUGUUUGCAGCUCACUGGCUUGAGAGGGGUAUCCUUGGGAGAGGAUGAGUUGCCCAAGGCAAUGCUUGUUGCAGCAGCAAUUUACGACUAGAGCCGGGCAGAACAAUCUCUCAAAUGGACCGGGGACCUCUCUUAUUGACAGCAUAGAUUUUGAUCAGAUUGUUAUUCCUGAGGUAUGGCACAUGUGCUUCAUAGUUCUUGAUUGGUUUCGAAAAAGGAAAGAAAAUAUAUCACCAUGGCAGGAAGCUAAUUUCAGGGUUAUCAGUUAGGUCCACUCUUUCCUCCGACAAGAUAGUUCUUGCAUGCGCGCUAAUGUACUGAUGUGUAUAGGAUUUGCAUGCGACAUUCCUGAAGGUAAUAAAAUGUGUACACUUGACCUUCUGCCACAUAGAUUGCAUUUUAAACUGAAUUACCGAGCUACCUGGAUUCAGUAAUUUAGCCGUUUCGUGAUAUUGCAGAUGUUGUGAUACUAUAAAGCAAAUAUAAUUUGAAAUAUUAGUUUGUGAUAGGGAAACUGUCAGGUAAAGUUGUAGUUUUAUUUAACCAGCUUCGGUGGUUGCUUAUUCGUUUCAGUAAUUGGAACUGCUUUUGCUUUGAACAUGCCCUUCAAAAUUCUGAUAUGGUGUGGUGUUCUCAUAAGUGGGCUCAGCACUCUGAUGCCCCUGUUCCUGCAACAAUACAAGAUCAAGAGUGAUACCGAAGAAGUGAAGAUGCAAGUAUCUGUUUCCAUGAAGAUCACUCCUUUGGACUUGUAUUGCUUUUAGGGAGGGAGUUUAAUUUUACCACACCUUGUACUUGACUUCCAUAGUUUUACCACACCCAACGUCUCUUGAUCACUCAGUUCUAAUUGUGCAAUAUGGAUCUGAAGGUGGGAGUCAGUAAUUACUGUACUGUGAAAAAACACUUGGGAUGAAAUAUGGGUCCGAAACACUGGAGCGUGUCA